GUUACAAGUACAAUUUAAGUGCUACAAUUUGUAAGUCUUUUAGCCGAGGUAGAGUCUGAAGAGGUGUGUCUUUCGUUUGCGGCGAAAGAUGUGAAGGAUCCUACUAUAUCCAUGGCCACCUUCUAGAAGGGAAUGUCAAAUACAGUAGAAGGAUUCUGUUGGAGGUCUUCUUUACCCCAAGAUGAGCUCUCAAAAGGUUUCCCCUCGACCACCAUCAGCCUCGGUGCACCAUCAGAGCCGGCCCCUUUAAAACACAUCAUCCAGGGGGGGAUCGGGAGAGGAAAAGAAGCAUGUGGCUGGUUUGGCUGCCACCAUGUUCAAGAACAAUAAAUUCUUUACAUCGUUCCUUAUAUUCC
ensembl:lncRNA